AUUGAACGCUGGCGGCAGGCCUAACACAUGCAAGUCGAGCGGAUGAAGGGAGCUUUCUCCUGGAUUCAGCGGCGGACGGGUGAGUAAUGCCUAGGAAUCUGCCUGGUAGUUGGGGAUAACGUCCGGAAACGGGCGCUAAUACCGCAUACGUCCUUAGGGAGAAAGUGGGGGAUCUUCGGACCUCACGCUAUCAGAUGAGCCUAGGUCGGAUUAGCUAGUUGGUGGGGUAAAGGCCUACCAAGGCGACGAUCCGUAACUGGUCUGAGAGGAUGAUCAGUCACACUGGAACUGAGACACGGUCCAGACUCCUACGGGAGGCAGCAGUGGGGAAUAUUGGACAAUGGGCGAAAGCCUGAUCCAGCCAUGCCGCGUGUGUGAAGAAGGUCUUCGGAUUGUAAAGCACUUUAAGUUGGGAGGAAGGGCAGUAAGUUAAUACCUUGCUGUUUUGACGUUACCAACAGAAUAAGCACCGGCUAACUUCGUG
rnacentral:rRNA from 1 species